rnacentral:rRNA from 1 species
UACGUAGGGGGCAAGCGUUGUCCGGAAUCAUUGGGCGUAAAGAGCUUGUAGGCGGUCUGUCGCGUCUGCUGUGAAAAUCCGGGGCUCAACCCCGGACUUGCAGUGGGUACGGGCAGACUAGAGUGUGGUAGGGGAGACUGGAAUUCCUGGUGUAGCGGUGAAAUGCGCAUAUAUCAGGAGGAACACCGAUGGCGAAGGCAGGUCUCUGGGCCACUACUGACGCUGAGAAGCGAAAGCAUGGGGAGCGAACAGG